AUUGAACGCUGGCGGCAUGCCUUACACAUGCAAGUCGAACGGCAGCACGGGAGCAAUCCUGGUGGCGAGUGGCGAACGGGUGAGUAAUGUAUCGGAACGUGCCCAGUCGUGGGGGAUAACGUAGCGAAAGCUACGCUAAUACCGCAUACGAUCUAUGGAUGAAAGCGGGGGAUCGCAAGACCUCGCGCGAUUGGAGCGGCCGAUAUCAGAUUAGGUAGUUGGUGGGGUAAAGGCCCACCAAGCCAACGAUCUGUAGCUGGUCUGAGAGGACGACCAGCCGCACUGGAACUGAGACACGGUCCAGACUCCUACGGGAGGCAGCAGUGGGGAAUUUUGGACAAUGGGCGAAAGCCUGAUCCAGCCAUUCCGCGUGCAGGAUGAAGGCCCUCGGGUUGUAAACUGCUUUUGUACAGAACGAAAAGGUUUCUACUAAUACUAGGAGCUCAUGACGGUACUGUAAGAAUAAGCACCGGCUAACUACGUGCCAGCAGCUGCCGUAA
rnacentral:rRNA from 1 species